UGAACGCGCCCGAUCACGUCUGAUCUCGGAAGAAUAUCA
rnacentral:rRNA from 1 species